UACAGAGGUGGCAAGCGUUGUUCGGAAUUACUGGGCGUAAAGGGCGCGUAGGCGGCCUUGCAAGUCAGAGGUGAAAGCCCAGGGCUCAACCCUGGAAUUGCCUUUGAGACUGCAUCGCUAGAAUUGUGGAGAGGUAAGUGGAAUUCCGAGUGUAGAGGUGAAAUUCGUAGAUAUUCGGAAGAACACCAGUGGCGAAGGCGACUUACUGGACACAUAUUGACGCUGAGGUGCGAAAGCGUGGGGAGCAAACAGG
rnacentral:rRNA from 1 species